rnacentral:rRNA from 1 species
CCUACGGGAGGCAGCAGUGGGGAAUAUUGCACAAUGGGCGCAAGCCUGAUGCAGCAACGCCGCGUGAGGGACGACGGCCUUCGGGUUGUAAACCUCUUUUAGUAGGGAAGAAGCGAAAGUGACGGUACCUGCAGAAAAAGCACCGGCUAACUACGUGCCAGCAGCCGCGGUAAUACGUAGGGUGCAAGCGUUGUCCGGAAUUAUUGGGCGUAAAGAGCUCGUAGGCGGUUUGUCGCGUCUGCUGUGAAAACCCGAGGCUCAACCUCGGGCCUGCAGUGGGUACGGGCAGACUAGAGUGCGGUAGGGGAGAUUGGAAUUCCUGGUGUAGCGGUGGAAUGCGCAGAUAUCAGGAGGAACACCGAUGGCGAAGGCAGAUCUCUGGGCCGUAACUGACGCUGAGGAGCGAAAGCAUGGGGAGCGAACAGGAUUAGAUACCCUGGUAGUCCAUGCCGUAAACGUUGGGAACUAGAUGUAGGGACCAUUCCACGGUUUCUGUGUCGCAGCUAACGCAUUAAGUUCCCCGCCUGGGGAGUACGGCCGCAAGGCUAAAACUUAAAGGAAAUUGACGG